rnacentral:rRNA from 1 species
UACGUAGGGUGCAAGCGUUGUCCGGAAUUAUUGGGCGUAAAGAGCUCGUAGGCGGUUUGUCGCGUCUGCUGUGAAAACUCAGGGCUUAACCCUGAGCUUGCAGUGGGUACGGGCAGACUAGAGUGCGGUAGGGGAGACUGGAAUUCCUGGUGUAGCGGUGGAAUGCGCAGAUAUCAGGAGGAACACCGGUGGCGAAGGCGGGAUCCUGGGCCAGUACUGACGCUGAGGAGCGAAAGCGUGGGGAGCAAACAGG